rnacentral:rRNA from 1 species
GACGGGGGAUGCAAGUGUUAUCCGGAAUCACUGGGCGUAAAGCGUCUGCAGGUGGUUUCCUAAGUCCACUGUUAAACCGUUGAGGCUCAACCUCAAAUCUGCAUUGGAAACUAGGAGACUUGAGUAUAGUAGGGGUAGAGGGAAUUUCCAGUGGAGCGGUGAAAUGCGUAGAUAUUGGAAAGAACACCGAUGGCGAAGGCACUCUACUGGGCUAUUACUGACACUCAGAGACGAAAGCUAGGGGAGCAAAUGGG